rnacentral:ncRNA from 1 species
AAUAUAUUUUAUCAUAGUAUAUUAGAAUUAGUUUUAAUUUUAGAUUAUAUGUAAAUUUUUGUGUGUUAAUUAUUAUCUAAAUGAUUAUUAUUAUUAUUUGCAGUUUUUAUUUUUAUUAAAUUAAGUGAUUAAGAUUUAGUAAAAAUUAAUUUGGGUUGUAAAAAGUUGUGCCAGCAUAUGCGGUUAUACUUCUAUCUCUAAUUAAUUUUUUUGUAUUAAUAUAUAUUUUUGUUUUUUGAUUAUUGAAAUUAUUUUAUUAGGUGAAAUUUUAAAUUAUAAAACUUUUUGGUUAUAAUAUAUGUUAAAGUAAAUUUUGUAAACUAGGAUUAGAUACCCUAUUAUUUUUAUUAUAAUUAUAAUUCUUGUUAUUAAAAGUUAUGGUCUUGAAAUCAAAAGGAUUUGGCGGUAAUUAAACUUUUCAGAGGAACCUGUUUUGGGAGAUUGAUAAUCCACGUUUGGUUUUACUUUAAUAAUUAACUUGUAUACCUCUGUCAUUGAAUGUCUUAUUAGGGUAUUUUCUUUAAUUUUUAUAAUGUUAAUGUCAAGUCAAGGUGCAGUUUAUUUAAGUUGAAAUGGGUUACAUUUAAUUUAUUUAUAGGAUUGAAAAUUUUUAUUUUUUUUAUGAAAUAGGAUUUGAAUGUAAAUUUUUAUAAAUUUAAGUUUUGAUUUUUGCAAUUAAUUAUGUACAUAUCGCCCGUCACUCUCAUCUUUUAAAAUGAGAUAAGUCGUAACAAAGUAAUUUUAUUGGAAAAUGAAAUUGGAAUAAU